rnacentral:lncRNA from 1 species
AGAAGUCCAAGCUUUGGGGGUGUAAAGAGCACUGAGGCUGCAUUCCACACACGGUCAAGAAUGGCAGCCAGGUGUGGUGGUGCACACCUGGCAGGCUGAGGCGGCAUGAUUGCAAGUUCAAGCCCAGCAAGGCCCUGUCUCCAAACAAAAAGUAAAAUGAGCUGGGAAUGAGCUCGGCACGGUGACCCUGGCUUCGGUCUCCAGUGGCAAGAAAAAGAGAAGGCAAGAAAGGGCGAUGCUGUUAUUUCUGCAAUCCUCCACAGCUCGGUAUUAAACUUUCUUUCUCAAAGCAGUCUCUGGUCAGCGGGAGGCACCACGGCUGCGGCCUUCGCCAGGUGCCCAGGUUUGCUUGAGAAGGGUAAUGUUGCCCUGGCACUCAGAACCAUUCCUUCUUCCCCUGCAGAAGGCCACCAUCAGCCACAUCUCACCCGACAGCCUCUACCUGUUCCGUGUCCAGGCCGUGUGUCGCAAUGACAUGCGCAGCGACUUCAGCCAGACGAUGCUCUUUCAGGCUAACACCACCCGAAUAUUCCAAGGGACCAGAAUCGUGAAAACAGGAGUGCCCACAGCAUCUCCUGCCUCUUCAGCAGACAUGGCCCCCAUCAGCUCGGGGUCUUCCACCUGGACAUCCUCUGGCAUCCCUUUCUCCUUUGUUUCCAUGGCAACGGGGAUGGGCCCCUCCUCCAGCGGCAGCCAGGCCACAGUAGCCUCCGUGGUCACCAGCACACUCCUGGCAGGCCUGGGGUUCGGAGGCGGCGGCAUCUCCUCCUUCCCCAGCACCGUGUGGCCCACGCGCCUCCCCACGGCCGCCUCGGCCAGCAAGCAGGCAGGGAGGCCGAUCCUGGCCACCACAGAGGCCUUGGCGUCCCCAGGGCCAGAUGGUGACACGGCCCCAACCAAGGACGGCGAGGGAGCAGAGGAAGGAGAGAAGGACCCACGGCCGCGCCAGCAAGCAGGCAGGGAGGCCGAUCCUGGCCACCACGGAGGCCUUGGCGUCCCCGGGGCCAGAUGGUGACACGGCCCCAACCAAGGACGGCGAGGGAGCAGAGGAAGGAGAGAAGGACGAGAAGAGCGAGAGCGAGGAUGGCGAGCGGGAGCACGAAGAGGAGGGGGAGAAGGACUCUGAGAAGAAGGAGAAGAGCGUGGCGACCCACAGCAGCACUGAGGAGGGUGACCGGACCACACCCACCCCAGCCCCAUCAGCCCCCAACAGGACUGCGGAGGAGGGCGGCCAUCAGACUAUAUCUGGGCACGGGCAGGACCACACUGCCACCCCCACGCACCAGGCUGGCCCAGACUCUGACGUGGUCCCCUCCACCCAAGUGCCCCCCACAGCCACAGAGGAGCAUUAUGCAGCCAGGGAUCCCAAGAGGCCCGGGGUGCCAUCGAAGAAGCCUACGUCCCGGGACCGAUUUUCCGAGGACAGCAGAUUCAUCACUGUUAAUCCAGCAGAAAAGAACACCUCUGGAAUGAUAAGCCGUGUUUCUCCAGGGAGGAUGGAAUGGAUCAUCCCUCUGAUUGUGGUCUCAGCCUUGACCUUCGUGUGCCUCAUCCUUCUCAUUGCUGUGCUAGUGUACUGGAGAGGGUGUAACAAAAUAAAGUCCAAGGGCUUUCCCAGACGUUUCCAUGAAGUGCCUUCUUCUGGGGAGAGAGGAGAGAAGGGGAGCAGGUGA